GACAUAAUGGGGAAAUAACUAUUUUUGAUUACUUGUAUAGUUAGGAGUGAUUCCCCUUAUGUAGUUUAUAAAAGGCCUUGCAAACUGUGUUUAGUUGCCACUUGCUCCUGAGUUACCAGCUUGACCACUUGACCUGUGUUGUGUAUAGUAUUUUUUCUGUUACUGGUCGUGUGUCAUGGGGUACUCGGAGAAGUGUGCCCUGCUCUGGAGAUCUUUGGGCUAAGUAUGUCUUUAGUAUUAUUGUAUUUUAUAUAAUGUAUUUAUUAAUAGAUAUAGCCCCAAAUGAUUUCCAGGCAGUAUAUUUUCUUUACCCUGAUGUUCUGCAUCCUGGGGUACUCCCAAACGUGACAUAUUUUUGUAACCUUUCUGAGGGAUUCAACCUGUAUUGAAUCAUCAGAUGGACUUUACAUAUAUUUUUAUCGCCUUGUCUCUGAGGGAUUCAACCUGUAUUGAAUCAUCAGAUGGGCUUUACCAAACGGAUGGCUAUAGGUGGGAUUCUAUGAAGCUUGUAGGCUCAUAGGUUUCCCUGAAGCCUAUAGUUCAUCAUGACCAUUUUGUUUUUGUUUUUUGGCUAAAAGUGGCUAGUGUAAGCCUGAAGCCUGUAACCAUAGUGUAGCCAAAAGUGGUCGUGUUUCGACCUGAGGCCUGUGACCUUCAGUUGGCUGUGUAAGCCGGAAGUUUGUAACCCAAUGGUCAAAAGUGGUCAUGUGUUGACCUGAGGCCUGUGAUCUUUAUUUUUGAUAACCAGAAUGUGACGAUAAUGUAACAUAUGACUAGGGCUGUGUGCCAUAUUAUUUUUGAGUAUCUUUUGUUUACUUUUUGUUGUGUCGGCCUGUGAGUUGAUGGCCAUUUAUUUUUCUCAUGUAAAUAAACUUUGUAAAUAUGUUUACCUGCGACUUUGUAAAAUCUUUUGUUGCAUACAUUAGUUGAAUUGUAUACCUGGAGGUUAUACCUAAUAACCUAGGCAGUACAAGAAGGGACCAGCACACCUCUGGACGAACGUGCCAGCACACUUUUAACACUGAUCUGUUGAUCUAAAGUACCUAAGUCUAGCUAUAAUUCUAAUUGAAUAUUUUUAGCUAUACCCGCUACUAGGUAAUGUGAACUCAUAUUGGUUCAUGAAUCCUCUUUAGGUCACAUGGGGGCUCGUAAAAAGAAUUUUAUCAGUGUUAAACCCUAGAACCCUACUGAUGUUGUGUAUUGCUGUAAACAUAAUUGUACUAUUGAUAUUGCUUAUUUACUGUAAGUUUUCAAGUUUUGCCAGUUGUGACGAGAUUUAUAUUUAAGAUGUAAUAUAUAGUUGUGUCUACAUUUUGUUAGCUUUGUAGUAGACAACUAAACUUUUCAGGUAACCAGAAGGUACUAGAGACUACCUGAGCCGCAAGAGACUAUCCCAGGCCGCAAGAGACUACCAGAGGCCGUGAGAGACUACCAGAAGUUCCUACAUCUGGCUCGUUUGCUCGUACCUUUCGUAUUAUUCUGAAUGACAGUACAUAGCAGAAUUGUGUUGACCGUGUCAGGCUGUGAUGUCAAGAGACUACCAGAUGACCACAAAGAGCACUGAACUAACCAGUCACCAGUCCUGUUGACAAGCUUGUUGACUUCUGAUGAAGUUUAGGAUAUUAAGUGUAUUUAGAGUUGAAAUUGUAUUUUCUUUUUGUAUAAAUUCACAAUGUAGUAAAGCAAGUCUCCUCAUAUUUGUAUUGUACAUGAAAACUUGACCAGAUUUUGAUUAGUUUAAGCUGAUGAUGUAAAUUUAGCGAUUUUUUUCACCUAUAAUAGUGGACUAAUGUUGUACAGAAUUUUGAUGAUUUUGUAAACAGGAUUUAAUGUGGAAAUGUUGAAAUGUUAACUAAGUAGAGAUGUUAACUUGUAAUUAUUUGUUUGAUACUGUCAUUUUCCCCAUUGGUUUAAGUUUAAUGCCUUGUGCGUCAUGUUUUCCUCACAAGGACAUUUUUAAGGUGGGGGGUGUGACAUAAUGGGGAAAUAACUAUUUUUGAUUACUUGUAUAGUUAGGAGUGAUUCCCCUUAUGUAGUUUAUAAAAGGCCUUGCAAACUGUGUUUAGUUGCCACUUGCUCCUGAGUUACCAGCUUGACCACUUGACCUGUGUUGUGUAUAGUAUUUUUUCUGUUACUGGUCGUGUGUCAUGGGGUACUCGGAGAAGUGUGCCCUGCUCUGGAGAUCUUUGGGCUAAGUAUGUCUUUAGUAUUAUUGUAUUUUAUAUAAUGUAUUUAUUAAUAGAUAUAGCCCCAAAUGAUUUCCAGGCAGUAUAUUUUCUUUACCCUGAUGUUCUGCAUCCUGGGGUACUCCCAAACGUGACAUAUUUUUGUAACCUUUCUGAGGGAUUCAACCUGUAUUGAAUCAUCAGAUGGACUUUACAUAUAUUUUUAUCGCCUUGUCUCUGAGGGAUUCAACCUGUAUUGAAUCAUCAGAUGGGCUUUACCAAACGGAUGGCUAUAGGUGGGAUUCUAUGAAGCUUGUAGGCUCAUAGGUUUCCCUGAAGCCUAUAGUUCAUCAUGACCAUUUUGUUUUUGUUUUUUGGCUAAAAGUGGCUAGUGUAAGCCUGAAGCCUGUAACCAUAGUGUAGCCAAAAGUGGUCGUGUUUCGACCUGAGGCCUGUGACCUUCAGUUGGCUGUGUAAGCCGGAAGUUUGUAACCCAAUGGUCAAAAGUGGUCAUGUGUUGACCUGAGGCCUGUGAUCUUUAUUUUUGAUAACCAGAAUGUGACGAUAAUGUAACAUAUGACUAGGGCUGUGUGCCAUAUUAUUUUUGAGUAUCUUUUGUUUACUUUUUGUUGUGUCGGCCUGUGAGUUGAUGGCCAUUUAUUUUUCUCAUGUAAAUAAACUUUGUAAAUAUGUUUA